rnacentral:rRNA from 1 species
UACGGAGGGUGCAAACGUUGCUCGGAAUCAUUGGGCGUAAAGCGCACGUAGGCGGCCGAUUAAGUCGGGUGUGAAAGCCCCGGGCUCAACCCGGGAAGUGCACUCGAAACUGACCGGCUUGAAUAUGGAAGAGGGUCGCGGAAUUCCCGGUGUAGAGGUGAAAUUCGUAGAUAUCGGGAGGAACACCAGUGGCGAAGGCGGCGACCUGGGCCAAUGAUUGACGCUGAGGUGCGAAAGCGUGGGGAGCAAACAGG